CAACCUAGUUUAUCCUAAAAACUCUGCACAUGUUUUUAUUUGUUUGUUUGUUGCACAUGUAUACACGAUAAUAUAAGCUGGAGGUGGCUGUUCAAAGUUGAAACCAAUCGGUUAGCUCGCUCUCUCUCACAAACGUUUUUACUGAACCAAUUCUUGUAAAACGUUUUUGUAUAAGCCAUACUCAACUUUCUUUUCAAGGAAGCUGAGUAACAAUUGAUGGACGGAAAUCAGCUGAUUAUGGCUUAUACAAAAACCUUUACAAGAAUUGGUUCGUAAAGAGAUUUUUCUAUACCAGUCUAUACCAGAAAGGGUUUUGAUUGUUCCGCUCGUCCUUCCUUCGAUUGAGCCCCUGUCCAAGAAAGAAACAUAACGUUGGAGCUUUGGAGAUGCAUCAGCCAAAAAUGGAGCUGUAAUUUUUAAUUGAAUUUGUUUAAACUUAA